AAACUGGAGAUGGCGACCGGCGCACGGGUGAGUAACACGUAUCCAACCUGCCGGUAACUCGGGGAUAGCCUUUCGAAAGAAAGAUUAAUACCCGAUGGUAUAAUUAGACCGCAUGGUCUUGUUAUUAAAGAAUUUCGGUUAUCGAUGGGGAUGCGUUCCAUUAGGCAGUUGGUGAGGUAACGGCUCACCAAACCUUCGAUGGAUAGGGGUUCUGAGAGGAAGGUCCCCCACAUUGGAACUGAGACACGGUCCAA
rnacentral:rRNA from 1 species